rnacentral:rRNA from 1 species
GAUGAACGCUGGCGGCGUGCCUAAUACAUGCAAGUCGAGCGAACAGACGAGGAGCUUGCUCCUCUGACGUUAGCGGCGGACGGGUGAGUGACACGUGGAUAACCUACCUAUAAGACUGGGAUAACUUCGGGAAACCGGAGCUAAUACCGGAUAAUAUAUUGAACCGCAUGGUUCAAUAGUGAAAGACGGUUUUGCUGUCACUUAUAGAUGGAUCCGUGCCGCAUUAGCUAGUUGGUAAGGUAACGGCUUACCAAGGCAACGAUGCGUAGCCGACCUGAGAGGGUGAUCGGCCACACUGGAACUGAGACACGGUCCAGACUCCUACGGGAGGCAGCAGUAGGGAAUCUUCCGCAAUGGGCGAAAGCCUGACGGAGCCACGCCGCGUGAGUGAUGAAGGUCUUCGGAUCGUAAAACUCUGUUAUUAGGGAAGAACAAAUGUGUAAGUAACUAUGCACGUCUUGACGGUACCUAAUCAGAAAGCAACGGCUAACUACGUG